GAAAAUUGGUUCAUUAUUUUAAACUAAGUAUAUACCUAAAUUUUUCUCUUUUAAUUUCUUAUCUGGCAGAUAUCUAUAGAUAUAUCUUAUAUAAACAGAACCUUUUGAGUCUCAAUAAUUUUCAAGACUGUAAAGGAGUCCUGAUACCAAUAUGAUUAACAAUCAUUCUUCUAAAUCUUCUCUUUUCUAGGUUAAACAUCUCCAUUGAACAUCACAUGAAUUCUAGUUAAUUCAUUAUCUUAAUUACCUUGCAGAUUGAGUGAAUCCCUUUUAAACUGUUGUUGCCAGGAUUUCUUAGGAUACUCCAGAUGUAUGGUGCAGGGUUUGGUGGAGAUUAUUAUAUCUAUUCUUUUAAUCUCAGCAGUUCUAAUAAGGCAAAGAAUGUAAAAGGGAAAGUCUGCCUGGCAUUUUCUAAUGUAAAGAAUCUAUUCUUUCAUUUUAGAACUAUAUACAAUGUUGACAUAGAGAAGAAAUCUUCGGAGAAUAAAGUUGUAGUUAUUUCUUGGAUUUCUGUCAAUGAAUUUUAUAGCAGAGCACAUGGUAAAUUUCUAAUCAGUCAGCCUUAAAAAUGUCUUCUCUAUUGUGUAUAAGCUGCUAAUUAUCCUUUUCAUUUACUUCAGAAUUAAUAAAAUUUAAAAUAUCAAAAGAGUAGAUGACAGCAUCUUUAAUCUCAUAAAUUUAUGUAGAACAGGGAUGUUUUAACAAAAAACAUUUUGUGGGUUGCAACAUUAUUAUUUUCAAAAACGUGAUACUUCCUACAAAUAAUAAGAAAAGCUUUUCAUUUUUUGUUAGUUUUUGUUGCAGGAGUUGCUGUGCUAUAGAGGUUGGGUGAAGAAUGUCUUUGCCUUUGUGCUUUAUUAAGAGAGUAACUUUUCCCUUUAUGCUACCCCACCCCAGUCUCCUUUCAGUACAUUUGAUGAAUUUCCAAUGAACGUGGGUUUUUUUUUUCUAUGUUCACUUGGACUAUACAAAAUAGAGUAAAUUUUCAAUACUCUUUAAAUAUUUUUAGUAGGUGCUCCCCCACAAAACAAGCAAAAUAUAAAUUAGACCUACAUAGGUAUAUUUUUGAAAUGCUUUUUAAUCAUUUUUAUUACCUAGUUUUUAAAUACUAAUUUCUGUUUGUCACAAUUACCUUAUAUUAACUACUACUAUAGUUAAAUUAAAUACAGAGAUAGAAAAAUCCCCUGAUAAAAUGUAAGAAUUGUUUCAAUUUAUUAAUAAAAAUAAUGAGAAAUAA